rnacentral:rRNA from 1 species
UAACGCGUGAGGAACCUGCCUCAAAGAGGGGGACAACAGUUGGAAACGACUGCUAAUACCGCAUAAGCCCACGGUGCCGCAUGGUACAGAGGGAAAAGGAGCAAUCCGCUUUGAGAUGGCCUCGCGUCCGAUUAGCUAGUUGGUGAGGUAACGGCCCACCAAGGCGACGAUCGGUAGCCGGACUGAGAGGUUGAACGGCCACAUUGGGACUGAGACACGGCCCAGACUCCUACGGGAGGCAGCAGUGGGGAAUAUUGCACAAUGGGGGAAACCCUGAUGCAGCGACGCCGCGUGGAGGAAGAAGGUCUUCGGAUUGUAAACUCCUGUUGUUGGGGAAGAUAAUGACGGUACCCAACAAGGAAGUGACGGCUAACUACGCGCCAGCAGCCGCGGUAAAACGUAGGUCACAAGCGUUGUCCGGAAUUACUGGGUGUAAAGGGAGCGCAGGCGGGAAGACAAGUUGGAAGUGAAAUCUAUGGGCUCAACCCAUAAACUGCUUUCAAAACUGUUUUUCUUGAGUAGUGCAGAGGUAGGCGGAAUUCCCGGUGUAGCGGUGGAAUGCGUAGAUAUCGGGAGGAACACCAGUGGCGAAGGCGGCCUACUGGGCACCAACUGACGCUGAGGCUCGAAAGUGUGGGUAGCAAACAGGAUUAGAUACCCUGGUAGUCCACACCGUAAACGAUGAUUACUAGGUG